AAAAAAAAAAACACUGGAAGGAAGGAAAUGUGUCUGUACAGAAAGUGAUUUGUAAGGAGCCUUUAGGCCCAGCAGUGGAAAUUCUGCAUAUUGGAGGAGCUGGGAGGAACUGAAGGCCCUCCAAAGAAAAGUCUGUUCAAUAAGCUAAGUGUUUCUGCUAGGUUAGGGCACUGGGUUGGCCUGUGAUAGAGGAGAAGGGUGCUGGAUGACCAUGUAAGAAAAAGCAGUUCAGCUUUAGAAAAGCCACCAAACUGCUGAAGUGCCACAGGUGAUGCCAGGGUUAGAGGGGAUGUCAAGAAGAGAGGAGAGGCAUCUCAAAAUGGCAGCCAAGGAAGAAACCAGUGAGUCCCCUUUCUCUCAAAGCAUCUGUGCUAGAGAAGAAUAGUGACAGAGCACCUGAGACGCAGAGAGCCGUUUUCGUCUUCCUGCGACCUUGCUGCUUUGUGGCAGGAAAGGUGAGCACAAAGCCAGGCGCUGUGUGCAGGCAGCAACGGGCUGCCCCCCACCAUUCCCCAGCUGCCCCUCAUCCUCUGCCUGCUCUGAGCCCCUGUUGCACACAGGCACGUGCCUGCCAGGAGCACCGUUCUUGCCUACAAAAUACACACGUGCGUGCUCGUGCAUUGCAGCCACACAGCAAAAGCAGCAAUUCUAGCAGCAAACCCAGUCAUGUUCGUUUCUUUUUUUCUCCUGAAAAGCUCCCUGAAACAUGCAGACUUCAGUGAAACAACACCUGUGUGCAAACCGCAGUGGGGGUCGGAGCAAGGAAAGAAAGCCCCAUCUCAGCAAGCAAGAACGUCAGGUUAAAAGCAGCACCAGGCUUGGCUGUCUUUUUGAGACACCACUGCACGCUGGCUCUGUUUGAGCCGAUGCUGGUUGAAUGUGGCUGCUUGAAAAGCUUCAUCUUCAGAAAGCUGAAGGCAUUGUGCCAGAGAUCCCGCACAUCAGGCUUCAAACCCAAGCUGUCAGGAUUGGGAAAUUUACAGAGCUCAGCUGCACCGAGGGACAGCUGGGUGCAACGCCGAUCUAAUCCAGAUUAUAAAGCUCCUGGGGUUUGCUCAGAGGGAAUUUCGAUGCGUGCAGUCACAGCAUAGCACCCCUGCCGCGAUUCUUUUCUGGCAGUAUGAGCAUCCGUGGUCUUUCCCCAUCUCACGUGUGCAGAUGUGUGCUCUUUCCAUCGUUUCCUCCUUGCUUCUCAUGGGAGCUUGCAGAUUCAAGCAUGAAAUCUGUACAAACAAAU
ensembl:lncRNA